rnacentral:rRNA from 1 species
GACGAACGCUUGCGGCGUGCCUAAGAAAUGCAAGUCGAACGGGUGCCAGUAAUGGUGCCAGUGGCGAACGGUCGCGUAACACGUAAGCAACCUGCCUUGAAGUGGGGGAUAACGUUCCGAAAGGGACGCUAAUACCGCAUGUGGUCCAUUUUUCGCAUGGGAGAUGGUCUAAAGAUUUAUCGCUUCAAGAUGGGCUUGCGGCCUAUCAGGUAGUUGGUGAGGUAAUGGCUCACCAAGCCGACGACGGGUAGCUGGUCUGAGAGGACGAUCAGCCGGAUUGGGACUGAGAUACGGCCCAGACUCCUACGGGGGCAGGCAGUAAGGAAUAUUGGUCAAUGGACGCAAGUCUGAACCAGCCAUGCCGCGUGAAGGAUG